GUACUCGCUUGCUUCGGCAGCACAUAUACUAAAAUUGGAACGAUACAGAGGAGAUUAGCAUGGCCCCUGCGCAGCUGCAUAUUUUUAAUAAAGAAAAAGCAUAAUUAGUU